rnacentral:rRNA from 1 species
CGCCUGUUUACCAAAAACAUCGCCUCUUGAUAAAUUAUAAGAGGUCCAGCCUGCCCAGUGACAUAGUUAAACGGCCGCGGUAUCCUGACCGUGCGAAGGUAGCAUAAUCACUUGUUCUUUAAAUAGGGACUAGAAUCAACGGCAUCACGAGGGUUAUACUGUCUCCUCUCUCCAAUCAGUGAAACUGAUUUCCCCGUGAAGAAGCGGGGAUGAAUCUAUAAGACGAGAAGACCCCAUGGAGCUUUAAACUCAACAACAACCUCCAUCUACAAAAUUCUACAUACUCCAAAGGUUCUGUUUGUUAGUUUUGGGUUGGGGUGACCGCGGAGAAAAACUAAACCUCCACGACGAACGGAACUAACUCCUAAUCUAAGAGCCACCGCUCUAAGAAUCAACAAAUUGACAUAAAUGAUCCGAUAAUCGAUCAACGAACCAAGUUACCCUGGGGAUAACAGCGCAAUCCAUUUCAAGAGCUCCUAUCGACAAAUGGGUUUACGACCUCGAUGUUGGAUCAGGGUAUCCCAGUGGUGCAGCCGCUACUAAAGGUUUGUUUGUUCAACAAUUAAAACCCUACGUGAUCUGAGUUCAGACCGG